UACGAGGGGCGCAAGUGUUGUUCGGAAUCACUGGGCGUAAAGGGAGCGUAGGCGGGCUUUUAAGUUAGGUGUUUAAUCCCGGGGCCCAACCCCGGACCGGCACCUAAAACUGGGAGUCUUGAAUAGUGGAGAGGUCAGUGGAAUUGGGGGUGUAGCGGUGGAAUGCGUAGAGAUCCCCAAGAACACCAGUUGCGAAGGCGGCUGACUGGACACAUAUUGACGCUGAGGCUCGAAAGCAUGGGGAGCAAACAGGG
rnacentral:rRNA from 1 species